AUAGCGGUGGGCUGCGCCGCUCUCUCCCUCACGAUUGCCGGGAUCCUGGUGACCAAACGAGUCAAGAAUCGCCGGAAAUGGUUGAGGAUCCUCGAGAUUCUCACGAAGUUCGAGGAGGGAUGCUCGAUGUCAAUGUCGAGGCUGAGGUGGGUGGUGGGCGUGAUGACCGUCGAGAUGCACGACAGGCCUCGCCUCCGACGGCGGAAGCAAGCUCGGCAUGCUUCUCACUUUCGUCGAUAAGCUCCCCAGUGGGUAAAUCUCUCUCCGCCGACGCCGACCUACUCUCUCCGCCUACACCGACCAACUCUCGCCGCGGCCGCCGACCAACUCUCUCUCUCCUCCGCCUCCGACCAACUCUCUCUCCGCUGCCGAACAACUUGACUUCAAAUGCAUUAUGAUUCUUAUUGGAAAUUGUUGCUGACCUUGGAUUGCAAAUAGAGUAAGCAGCAGAGGUUCUGCUAGCCCAAUUGACCAAACUCCGAGCCGAAGCAAAAGAGGUGACGAUCAAAAGAAAACAAGAGAAGGCUGCAAAUAUGGAUGCAAUUAAGGAGCAUUUGGGAUAGAGAAUGGACAGUCGGUGGACCUUAAUGUGGUGCUUGAUAAGCUUAUGAACGAUGGAGAAGGAGAGAUGAUCCAGCCUCAAAAGAUUUGGUUUGGUCGGUGAUUGUUUGUUUGUGCCUUGGCUUUGCGAUUUGUGUAUAUACUCUCUUCGAAUCUUUGUUGUUUGUUGCUUAUUUGUGUAAGAUUAUGAAAGAUGGCCAACUGCCCUUUUUUCAUACGUGAAGGCAUUGAAAAAUUGUCCUGUGUAGGCAUUGAAAAAUUAAAACUGUUUAUUUCUCAAGUAAUUAUUUAUGAUGUUUUUGCAUA